CACGUAGGGCGCGAGCGUUGUCCGGAAUUAUUGGGCGUAAAGAGCUCGUAGGCGGCCUGUUGCGUCCGCUGUGAAAGCCCGGGGCUUAACCCCGGGUCGGCAGUGGAUACGGGCAGGCUAGAGGUAGGUAGGGGAGGAUGGAAUUCCCGGUGUAGCGGUGAAAUGCGCAGAUAUCGGGAGGAACACCGGUGGCGAAGGCGGUUCUCUGGGCCUUACCUGACGCUGAGGAGCGAAAGCGUGGGGAGCGAACAGG
rnacentral:rRNA from 1 species